CCGGAAUCACUGGGCGUAAAGGGCGCGUAGGCGGCCUGAUAAGUAGGGGGUGAAAUCCUGCGGCUUAACCGCAGGGCUGCCUUCUAAACUGUCAGGCUCGAGCACAGUAGAGGCAGGUGGAAUUCCCGGUGUAGCGGUGGAAUGCGUAGAGAUCGGGAAGAACAUCAGUGGCGAAGGCGGCCUGCUGGGCUGUUGCUGACGCUGAGGCGCGACAGCGUGGGGAGCAAACAGG
rnacentral:rRNA from 1 species